GACGAACGCUGGCGGCGUGCUUAACACAUGCAAGUCGAACGGAAAGGCCCCUUUUGGGUUCCUCGCGCGGCGAACGGGCGAGUAACUCGUACGUAACCUACCCUUCCCUUCGUGAUAACUACAGUCAACUGGGGCUAAUACCUGCCAGAAAUCCUCUCUGCAUGGAGGGGGUUGGAAAGCUUCGGGGGUUUUGGAGGGACUCGCGCCCUAUUAGCUUGGUGGUGGGGUAGUGGCUUACCAACGCUUUGUCGGGUAGCCGGCCUGGGAGGGCGACCGGCCACAAUGGGGAUGAGGUAAGGCCCAGGCUCCUACGGGGGGCAGGAGGGGGGAAUAUUGCACAAUGGGCGGGAGGCUGAUGCAACAAAGCCGCGUGCGGGAUGACGGCCUUCGGGUUGGGAACCGCUUUCAGCAGGGGAGAAGCUUGUGGUGACGGUACCUGGAGAAGAAGCACCGGCUAACUACGUG
rnacentral:rRNA from 1 species